UACGUAUGGUGCAAGCGUUAUCCGGAUUUACUGGGUGUAAAGGGAGCGCAGGCGGCACGGCAAGCCUGAUGUGAAAGCCCGCGGCCCAACCGCGGGACUGCAUUGGGAACUACCGGGCAGGAGUGCCGGAGAGGUAGGCGGAAUUCCUAGUGUAGCGGUGAAAUGCGUAGAUAUUAGGAGGAACACCAGUGGCGAAGGCGGCCUACUGGACGGUGACUGACGCUGAGGCUCGAAAGCGUGGGGAGCAAACAGG
rnacentral:rRNA from 1 species